AGUGAACGCUGGCGGUAGGCCUAACACAUGCAAGUCGAACGGCAGCACAGUAAGAGCUUGCUCUUACGUGUGUCGAGUGUCGGACGGGUGAGUAAUACAUCGGAAUCUACUUUUUCGUGGGUGAUAACGUAGGGAAACUUACUCUAAUACCGCAUACGACCUACUGGUGAAAGCAGGGGAUCUUCUGACCUUGCGCGAUUGAAUGAGCCGAUGUCGGAUUAGCUAGUUGGCGGGGUAAAGGCCCACCAAGGCGACGAUCCGUAGCUGGUCUGAGAGGAUGAUCAGACAGACUGGAACAGAGAAACGGUACAGACUCCGACGGGAGGCAGCAGUGGGGAAUAUUGGACAAUGGGCGAAAGGCUGAUCCAGCCAAACCGCGUGGGGGAAGAAGGACUUCGGGUUGGAAAGCGCUGUUGCUGGGAAAGAAAAGAAGCAGGUUAAUACCCCGCUGUUCUGACGGUACCCAAAGAAUAAGCACCGGCUAACUUCGUG
rnacentral:rRNA from 1 species